GACGAACGCUGGCGGCGUGCUUAACACAUGCAAGUCGCACGAAGUGUCGAACGGGUGAGUAACGCGUAAUCAACCUGCCCUUCAGAGGGGGACAACAGUUGGAAACGACUGCUAAUACAGCAUACUGAAGGAGGGGAUUGCGUCUGCUUAGCUAGUUGGUGGGGUAACGGCCCACCAAGGCGAGGAUAUGUAGCCUGGCUGAGAGGAUUAACGGCCACAUUGGGACUGAGACACGGCCCAGAAGCCUACGGGCGGCAGCAGUGGGGAAUCUUCCGCAAUUGACGAAAGUCUGACGGAGCAACGCCGCGUGAGGGAUGACGGCCUUCGGGUUGUAAAGCUCUGUUAAUCGGGACGCGGUACCGGAAUAGAAAGCCACGGCUAACUACGUGCCAGCAGCCGCGGUAAUUC
rnacentral:rRNA from 1 species